rnacentral:tRNA from 1 species
CGCGGGGUAGAGCAGCUCGGAAGCUCGUCGGGCUCAUAACCCGAAGGUCGCAGGUUCAAAUCCAGCCCCCGCAACCA